rnacentral:rRNA from 1 species
AUUGAACGCUGGCGGAAUGCUUUACACAUGCAAGUCGAACGGCAGCACGGACUUCGGUCUGGUGGCGAGUGGCGAACGGGUGAGUAAUGUAUCGGAACGUGCCCAGUCGUGGGGGAUAACGUAGUGAAAAUUACGCUAAUACCGCAUACGAUCUAUGGAUGAAAGCGGGGGAUCGCAAGACCUCGCGCGAUUGGAGCGGCCGAUAUCAGAUUAGGUAUUUGGUGGGGUAAAGGCCCACCCAGCCAACGAUCUGUAGCUGGUCUGAGGGGACGACCAGCCACACUGGAACUGAGACACGGUCCAGACUCCUACGGGAGGCAGCAGUGGGGAAUUUUGGACAAUGGGCGAAAGCCUGAUCCAGCCAUUCCGCGUGCAGGAUGAAGGCCCUCGGGUUGUAAACUGCUUUUGUACAGAACGAAAAGGUUUCUACUAAUACUAGGAGCUCAUGACGGUACUGUAAGAAUAAGCACCGGCUAACUACGUGCCAGCCGCCGCAGUAA